AUCUCUAUCCACUUUAUACACUCUGUGUAAGAGUCUAUAACAUUGGGAGUUGGAGGCUUGCAAUGGCCCUACUUAUAUGUAGGCUAUUGCUCCUCUUGAAUGUAUUAGUGAGGCCCUUGUUGCAACUUUCUCAUUGUAUCAUGCAGCCUUUGGUGUGAUAAUCAUUAAUUGUUAAUAACCCUCUGGCUUAACAUGAGUGGGAAAAUUGUUAUAUAACAGGACCCUUCACUUAGAGCCCUUUGAAUAAGAGUGGCUCAAUACCUUAACACAGC
rnacentral:misc_RNA from 1 species